GAUCCGUCACACUAUCGUUAACUGAAUACAUAGGUUAACGAAGCGAACCGGGGGAACUGAAACAUCUAAGUACCCCGAGGAAAAGAAAUCAACCGAGAUUCCCCCAGUAGCGGCGAGCGAACGGGGAGCAGCCCAGAGUCUGAAUCAGCUUGUGUGUUAGUGGAACGGUCUGGAAAGUCCGACGGUACAGGGUGAUAGUCCCGUACACCAAAAUGCACAGGUUGUGAACUCGAAGAGUAGGGCGGGACACGUGGUAUCCUGUCUGAAUAUGGGGGGACCAUCCUCCAAGGCU
rnacentral:rRNA from 1 species